GCUAUCACGUCAAAGGUUUUUAACUAUUCGCGGCCUCAUUGUUGGAUGCGCUCCUUGAGCCAUUCCUCUUAUGGAUCAAAAUUUUAUAAUAUUUCAAACCGUUGCAGAAACUUAUUGAAUUUUUAGAGGAGCAUUGGCGGGGGAAAGGGCAGUUAACCUUGCGACAAAUGCCGACGGCUUGCGAGCUUGUCGGCACGGUUUUCGCCGGCUCUUCCUCUG
rnacentral:sRNA from 1 species